CCGCCCUUAGCUCAGCUGGAUAGAGCAACGGCCUUCUAAGCCGUAGGUCACUGGUUCAAAUCCAGUAGGGCGGGCCA
rnacentral:tRNA from 2 species